CUGAAGCCUGCUGCUGCUCUGGAUGAGAGUAGAAACAUAUCUAAAUUAUGUUGUUCUGCUAGAAUGUAUUCAUUGGAAGAGAAUACUUAUUGAAGAACAAGUGGAGAAAUUUUCACUAAUUCUGCUUUGGUCUAGAUCCAUGUUCCACUGGGAAGAGCAGGUGUUGGUAACUACAUAUGUUUUCAAGAAAUAUAUGCAAGAGCCAAGGAACAGCAAAGCAGAACUGUGGUGUUAAAGUCUGCUGGAUGCUGCUUCACACCUGAUUGCUCUGGAGGCCUGAGGCUCACGCUGAUGCCUUCCUAGCUCUGACAUACUCUGGCUGAAGGAUGAAGCUCUUGCCUUUGUCUGGUGAAGUAACUUAUUUAGAGGAAGCCUGUGGAACUCAGAAAAUAUUGAUGACUUCUUUGAGAUCAGCAAAACUUUUUUCUUUCUUUGUCCUUCCAUGAUACUUCCAAACUCUCAUCAGCUUGACCUUCACAUCAGCUGUCUAGAAUCAGGAUCAGAAUUUUCUUAAAAUUGCUCUUACUGUUUUAGAACAGGUGGUGAAAAUGAAUAGCUGUAAGGGAAAUUUGGGUAGGAG
rnacentral:lncRNA from 1 species